GGGCGUGUAGCUCAGUGGUAGAGCGCGUCUCUGAUAAAGACGAGGCCGAUGGUCCGAUCCCAUCCGCGCCCA
rnacentral:tRNA from 2 species